rnacentral:rRNA from 1 species
AUUGAACGCUAGCGGGAUGCUUUACACAUGCAAGUCGAACGAGUGGCGGACGGGUGAGUAAUAUAUCGGACCGUGCCCAGUAGCGGGGGAUAACUACUAGAAAGAGUGGAUAAUACCGCAUACUAUGGGAUCGGCCGAUAUGGGAGUAGCUAGUGGGGGGGGUAAAGGCUCACCAAGGCAACGAUCCUUAGCUGGUUUGAGAGGACGACCAGCCACACUGGGACUGAGACACGGCCCAGACUCCUACGGGAGGCAGCAGUGGGGAAUUUUGGACAAUGGGGGAAAGCCUGAUCCAGCCAUCCCGCGUGUAUGAGAAGGCCUUCGGGUUGUAAAGUACUUUUGGCAGAGAAGCGGUAUCUGCAGAAUAAGCACCGGCUAACUACGUGCCAGCCGCCGCGGUAAUAC